CGGUUGAUCCUGCCGGACCUGACUGCUAUUGGAGUAGGACUAAGUCACGCUAGUCAAAGGUGCGGAAUGGAGCACCUGGCGUACGGCUCAGUAACACGUAGUCAACCUACCCUAAGGACGAUGACAACCACGGGAAACUGUGGAUAAUCUUCGAUAGGAAAUUUGGCCUGGAACGGUAUCUUUCCUAAAUCCGGCUCGCCGUGAGAUACGGGCCUUAGGAUGGGGCUGCGGCCGAUUAUGCUAGAUGGCGGUGUAAAGGACCACCAUGGCGACGAUCGGUAUGGGCAAUGGAAGUUGGAGCCCAGAGUCGCUCACUGAGACAAGGGAGCGAGCCUUACGAGGCUUAGCGGUCGCGAAAACUCGCCAAUGCACGAAAGUGUGAGUGGGCUACUCCAAGUGUCAUUCUUACGGAUGACUGUCGCCCAGUAUUACAAGCUGGGAAAGGAAGGAGAGGGCAAGGCUGGUGCCAGCCGCCGCGGUAAAACCAGCUCUUCGAGUGGUCAGGACGAAUAUUGGGUCUAAAGCGCUCGUAGCCGGACAUGUAGGUUCUUGGUUAAAUCCGACAGCAUAACUGUCGACCUGCUGGGAAUACCGCAAGUCUUGGGAGCGGGAGAGGAUAGAGGUAGUCAUAGGGCAGGGGUGAAAUCCAGUGAUCCUAUGGCGACCACCGAUGGCGAAGGCAUCUAUCUGGAACGUCUCCGACGGUGUGGGGCGAAAGCUAGGGGAGCGACCCGGAUUAGAUACCCGGGUAGUCCUAGCCGUAAACGAUGCGGACUAGGUGUUGGAACGGCCAAGAGCCGUUUCGGUGCCACAGCGAAGGCGUUAAGUCCGCCACCUGGGGAGUACGGUCGCAAGGCUGAAACUUAAAGGAAUUGACGGGGGCGCAC
rnacentral:rRNA from 1 species